AGGACGAACGCUGGCGGCGUGCCUAACACAUGCAAGUCGAGCGAUGAAGCUUCUUCGGAAGUGGAUUAGCGGCGGACGGGUGAGUAACACGUGGGUAACCUGCCUCAUAGUGGGAAUAGCCUUUACGAAAGGAAGAUUAAUACCGCAUAAGAUUGUAAUAUCGCAUGAUAUAGCAAUUAAAGGAGUAAUCCGCUAUGAGAUGGACCCGCGUCGCAUUAGCUAGUUGGUGAGGUAACGGCUCACCAAGGCGACGAUGCGUAGCCGACCUGAGAGGGUGAACGGCCACAUUGGGACUGAGAUACGGCCCAGACUCCUACGGGAGGCAGCAGUGGGGAAUAUUGGGCAAUGGGCGAAAGCCUGACCCAGCAACGCCGCGUGAAGGAAGAAGGCCUUCGGGUUGUAAACUUCUUUUAAGAGGGACGAAGGACGUGACGGUACCUCUUGAAUAAGCCACGGCUAACUACGUG
rnacentral:rRNA from 1 species